CGACCUCGUUUGAUACGGUUAUGGUUAACCACACGGCCCCUCGGGCCCGACCCGAGCCCAGUCAACGUUUUGACCCGAUCAAAUCGGCCCGUGACCCGAAACGACCCUACUUGGGCCCUACAACAGCCACGUAAAGUUUCGGGAUGAUCCGACGUUCUUUCAUGGGGUUACGGACAAUCCACGCCAAACAAGCGUCACGGGCCGACCGAGCCGGGCCAACGGGCCCUCGGGACCCGAAAACUGAAUUUUUUUUCAUCCAAACCCAUUAAAACACGUUACCGAGGUCUCACGCAAAAUUUCAUGCCAAUCCGACGUCGUUUGAUGGGGUUUUGAGAUAUUAUGAUUCCUCAAAAAUUUAAUGUCUGUUCCUGUCACUUAGCUUUUUGUGCAAAAUGUAUAUAUAGGGGAGGGGUGGGUGUUGAGCAGCCCAUGCCCGGGCAAGGCAUGCCAGCGCCCAAGCCAAAGGAGGCUGGUGGCGUGCGUAUAACAGCUCAAAUGCCCCAACGAUGACCGAGAACAAGCGCCCAUCUCCCCUCCUUCCCCCCCACCAAGCGCCCCUCCCCCCCCAUGUUGCCUGCCCACUCGCACAGCUACUCGUGAUUUCAUGCCCAGCGACUAGUGAAUGUGCCUCGACGACCAGCAAACCUCGAAAAUUAUGAUUCCUCGUAAAAUUAAUGUCUGUUCCUGUCACUUUACUUUUUGUGCAAAAUGUAUAUAUAGGGGAGACCAGGGGCUUGAGCAACCCCUGUGCCCAAGCAAGGGUCAGAUGGAAGCACACGAGACGCGAGGUUUAAAGCCUAUACAAGCAAGGCGUCUGUCUCCCCAAGCCCCAUUGCCUAUAAAACAAGCCCGAUGCCUUGUAAAUGCCCCACACGAUGCCUAUAAACGACAACGAUGUUUGCUAGUUAAUCGAUCGACGCCCCACACCUUGCAGCAUGUUGCCUAGUAAACAAGCCAUGCUGCCUUGGAAGCGCCCCACAUCAUGGCAUGUUGCCUAGCACGCUGCCCUUGUUUCCAGCACGGCGACCUGAAAGCGUGGCCUGACGACGUGCUUGCCUUCGAAAAUUAUGAUUCCUCAAAAAAUUAAUGUCUGUUCCUGUCACUUUACUUUUUGU
rnacentral:rRNA from 1 species